GCGGAUGUAGCUCAUCUGGUUAGAGCGCCGGGUUGUGGUUCCGGAGGCAGUGGGUUCAAUCCCCAUCAUUCGCC
rnacentral:tRNA from 1 species